rnacentral:rRNA from 1 species
CAGUCGCCACGGUAAUACAGAGGAUGCAAGCGUUAUCCGGAAUGAUUGGGCGUAAAGCGUCUGUAGGUGGCUUUUCAAGUCCGCUGUCAAAUCCCAGGGCUCAACCCUGGACAGGCGGUGGAAACUACCAAGCUAGAGUACGGUAGGGGCAGAGGGAAUUUCCAGUGGAGCGGUGAAAUGCGUUGAGAUCGGAAAGAACACCAACGGCGAAAGCACUCUGCUGGGUCGACACUGACACUGAGAGACGAAAGCUAGGGGAGCAAAUGGGAUUAGAUACCCCUGUAGUCCCUGUCUCUUAUAC